UACGUAGGGUGCGAGCGUUAAUCGGAAUUACUGGGCGUAAAGCGUGCGCAGGCGGUUGUGCAAGUCCGAUGUGAAAUCCCCGGGCUCAACCUGGGAAUGGCAUUGGUGACUGCACGGCUAGAGUGUGUCAGAGGGGGGUAGAAUUCCACGUGUAGCAGUGAAAUGCGUAGAGAUGUGGAGGAAUACCGAUGGCGAAGGCAGCCCCCUGGGAUAACACUGACGCUCAUGCACGAAAGCGUGGGGAGCAAACAGG
rnacentral:rRNA from 1 species